AGCAGUGUGGUGUAGUGCGCACGCGGGGUCUUCUUAGGGCCAAGUCGAGCUUACCCCCGAGGUCCUUGUUCGAGCCAAGGCGCUGCUG